GACGAACGCUGGCGGCGUGCUUAACACAUGCAAGUCGAACGGAAAGGCCCUGCUUUUGUGGGGGGCUCGAGUGGCGAACGGGUGAGUAACACGUGAGUAACCUGGCCUGGACUUUGGGAUAACUUCAGGAAACUGGGGCUAAUACCGGAUAGGUACUCCUGCUGCAUGGUGGGGGUUGGAAAGAUUCGGCGGUUGGGGAUGGACUCGCGGCUUAUCAGCUUGUUGGUGGGGUAGUGGCUUACCAAGGCUUUGACUGGUAGCCGGCCUGAGAGUGUGACCGGCCACAUUGGGACUGAGACACGGCCCAGACUCCUACGGGAGGCAGCAGUGGGGAAUAUUGCACAAUGGGAGGAAGCCUGAUGCAGCAACGCCGCGUGCGGGAUGACGGGCUUCGGGUUGUAAACCGCUUUCGCCUGUGACGAAGAGUGAGUGACGGUAAUGGGUAAAGAAGCACCGGCUAACUACGUG
rnacentral:rRNA from 1 species